UUGCUGCUUAGUUUCUUGCUCGUUUGCAGUCCUUCCUCAUGUUGCCCGCCGAUGUUGCUCACAGGCUGGUUUCCCUGUUCACCCAAGCCUUGGAAGACUCUGCGGAGGAGAAGCGGCGACUGCAUCAGAGCCUCAGUUGGCACAAGGCUCUUCUUGGAGACUGGCAAGUUGGAGAGGGAAAUGAAUGGCAACCCAUGCCCAGAGUUCUAGACAAGAACCCCCAAGUUCCUGAAAGCCCAGACCUCAAAGAUGGUGAGAAUGAUAUUCAAGACAGCGAACCCUCAGCCAAGGAGUGUGAAGAACUAGAGCUGCUUAACAAAGCCCUGGAGAAAGCAUUAAGAAUCCGGUCAAAGUUCCAUCAGGCUCCCUGUGAGGCUACAGAAGGUGAGAAAGCAGCAGCCAAGAAGCCUGUUAUAAGUGACACUUUAAAACAGCAAUUGAAUAAUUCUAAGGAGAGCAUCUCUAAGACUGCCAAGGUGUCCUCUGUGAUCAGAAAGGCUGUGCCUUCCAAAAAGCCCACAGCGUACAUGCUGAAAGCUCCCUACAGGACUGACCCAGAUGGCAGAAGGCCACAGGCAAAAAUGUUACCUCAGCAGAGCUCCAGAGUUGCUAAGGUACCUGAGAAGAAAAGGUCAGCCAGAGGAGCUGCUUCCCCAAAAGCCAAAUUGCCUAUAAAAAUAAGCAGAGCAGGUCAUGAAAAGGUCUUUGCCGCUGGAGAACCUGGAACGCCACCGGACUCUUCCAAAUCCCCACAUCUUGCAAAACAACGCCCUUCAUCAGGGAAUUCUGCAGAUGGGUCAGACUUUGCAGGUCCUGAUCCACCAUUACCUGAAGCAGGGAAUAAGGAACCUGCUGUGGAAUCUCUAGUUUCACAGAACCGUUUGAGAGGAAGCAUCCCAGGGAUGGGCUUAACUUCCAGAACUUCCACUCUCCAAGAAAAGGGGUCUUCGCUGAAGCUACCACUCCCUUACAGGAAAGCCUUUUCUAGGUAUAUCAGGCUGUUGGAGAAGUGCCAGCUUUGCCAGACAAGCCCAGACGCAGCUCUCGCCAAAGCUCGCUUCAUGGAAAAGUUGCAAGCAACAUUCUGCUCACCGUCACCAGCUUUUAGCCCAGCUGAGGUGAGAAAAGAGCUGAUGCAUCUGCAUGAUGUCCAUAUCCUUGUGAGCCAGCACAUGGAAGCAGAGACCUCAGCUUUCCUUGGAGAAAACCCAACCUGGGAGAGGCAAUACGAGAGUCUCCUGACUCUGGAGGGCCUGCAAGCAGUAGUAGACCAGAGCCUGGCCAAAGUGGACCAGCUGAGAGAAGCGAUGGAGUCGUAUUCCAAGCUGCUUGCCCCUCCGUCAGCUUGCAGCCAGAAAUGUUCCUGCGCGUGCUGUGCUUCCCUUGGGAGACAGAGAUGCUGGGACAUAGAAACGGUGGGGCCACCACCCCUGCUUUUUUACUCCAGCUUGAAAGAACUGGAGGACAUGGAAGUCUUAAAACUUAAGGUGGCGAUGCUGCACAAGCAACUGGAAAUACAGAAGGUCAUGGAAGCUGAGCUCCUCCCACUUCUGGAACCGGGAAUCGUUCAGGAAGGCUCCACGGCAUCCUUGUUCCGUGCUGUUUACACACUGCUGUGUGAAGGGGGCGUGCGCUUCCCUGUGCUUGUCCGUGAUGAGGAGCCGCCCAGCUGACUGGGGGCCUGUCCGGGAUGUCCGGCAACGUGCACAGAAGAAGAGGCAGCUUCUCUGAUCAUCUUCCUUUCCGUUUUAUCCUUCGGCAACCCUGUGAGAGACAGAUGCAGAGUAUGGAGGUGUAUUCCACCAUGCAGAAGUCAGGUGGCUUAGCAGAGGCAAGGUCCUCAUCAUGAAGGUGAAGUCUUAACGAGAAAUGAAAAGGUUACGAAGUACUUUCUGACCCUCGAUGGAUGUUUGAUUUGACUUUCUUAACUAAUAUCACAGAGCACCUGAACACAUGGAAUCUAAGGACUGGGCUAGAGGGAGCAGGGAAGUCCCGUUCGCCCAGCCCAGUUGCAAGCUCCAGCCCCGCAUCCGUUCCACAUUCUCCUCCUGCACUGGGCAAAGCAGGCUGCUGGUAUUUCUGCUGCUUCCUUCUCCACCUCCAACGCACGGAGAUACCAAGAUGCUUUGGCAGAGCAAAUCGGGGAGGGCUGUGGGCCCACUGUUGCACCGAAAAUAGCAGGGAAGUGCCAGUGACUAACGUCAACAUCCAAGGAGCUUUUGUUGUUGGGGAGGAAGGUGGCAUGGGGUGCUAUUUUCAGAGCUGCACUUCCUGAUGCUUCUGUGUUAUUAAGACAGCCUUCCAUCUCUCCGCAACUUGACUCAUGUACAUUAAAGGCA